AACGGCGAGUGAAGCGGGAAGAGCUCAAAUUUGAAAUCUUCAAGGUUUUACCUUGACGAAUUGUAGUUUAAAGAAGUGUUUUCUGUUGAAGUUUUGGUAAAAGUUCUUUGGAAUAGGACAUCAUAGAGGGUGAGAAUCCCGUAUUUGACCAUUAUUUUCAGCUGUGUGAUACACUUUCAAAGAGUCGGAUUGUUUGGGAAUGCAGUCCAAAAUGGGUGGUAAAUUUCAUCUAAAGCUAAAUAUUGGCGAGAGACCGAUAGCGAACAAGUACCGUGAGGGAAAGAUGAAAAGAACUUUGAAAAGAGAGUUAAACAGUACGUGAAAUUGUCAAAAGGGAAGCGUUUGACACCAGUGUUGUUUUCUCGAAAAUCAAUUAAAAAGAGUUGGAUUUUGUGUUGUAUUGACCUUAACAGCUUUCUUCACUCUUUUCCUGCUUUUUUUAAUGCACUUUUCGUUUAACAAGUCAACAUCAGUUUCUUUUGUUGUAAAAAGAUCAUUGGAAGGUGGCUUUCUUUUCGGAGAAAGUGUUUAUAGCCUUUGAUCCCUGCAAUCGGAGAGACUGAGGUCUGCAGCGUAGACUCUUCGGGGUUAGAUACAUUUGUGCUAAGUUAUAGCUUUUCAUAGACAACUUGUUGACUAUGUUUAGUCUUGUAGCUUACUCGCUUAUGCUAUUUACCUAC
rnacentral:rRNA from 1 species